rnacentral:rRNA from 1 species
UUCCUACGGGAGGCAGCAGUCGGGAAUAUUGCACAAUGGAGGAAACUCUGAUGCAGUGACGCCGCGUGCAGGAAGAAGGUUUUCGGAUUGUAAACUGCUUUAGAUGGGGAAGAAAAAAGACUGUACCCAUAGAAUAAGCUCCGGCUAACUACGUGCCAGCAGCCGCGGUAAUACGUAGGGGGCAAGCGUUAUCCGGAUUUACUGGGUGUAAAGGGAGCGUAGACGGCAGUGCAAGUCUGAAGUGAAAGGCAAGGGCUCAACCCUUGGACUGCUUUGGAAACUGUGCUGCUCGAGUGUCGGAGAGG